UACGGAGGGGGUUAGCGUUGUUCGGAAUUACUGGGCGUAAAGCGCGCGUAGGCGGACCAGAAAGUUGGGGGUGAAAUCCCGGGGCUCAACCCCGGAACGGCCUCCAAAACUCCUGGUCUUGAGUUCGAGAGAGGUGAGUGGAAUUCCGAGUGUAGAGGUGAAAUUCGUAGAUAUUCGGAGGAACACCAGUGGCGAAGGCGGCUCACUGGCUCGGUACUGACGCUGAGGUGCGAAAGUGUGGGGAGCAAACAGG
rnacentral:rRNA from 1 species